GUUGCAGGUGUCGGGUAGCCGGUCAGAGCUGAUGAGAUGAUGGAUGGGGAUAACAGCACAUCGUUUUGGAUGAAACCUGAUCUGCGUGAGAGCAGAGCUACUCUGAUGUGCUGCUGACUCAUCUGAAUCCUCUUUCACCAAACACUUCAAGUCGGGACUUACACCUCUCUUUAAGACAUCUAUGGCUCAGUGUAAAGAGUAGUUGUCUUGGAGUCUAAAGGGAGAGUUUAAUUCCAGCUUCUACCUACCACAUGAUAAAGUGUCCUUGGGCAAGUCAUUGAACACACACAAAGAGCAAAACUGUGCAUGUAUGAAUGUGUAUGAAUAUU